rnacentral:rRNA from 1 species
CCCUAGUAGCGGCGAGCGAAGCGGGAAGAGCUCAAAUUUAUAAUCUGGCACCUUCGGUGUCCGAGUUGUAAUCUCUAGAAGUGUUUUCCGCGUUGGACCGCACACAAGUCUGUUGGAAUACAGCGGCAUAGUGGUGAAACCCCCGUAUAUGGUGCGGACGCCCAGCGCUUUGUGAUACACUUUCAAUGAGUCGAGUUGUUUGGGAAUGCAGCUCAAAUUGGGUGGUAAAUUCCAUCUAAAGCUAAAUAUUGGCGAGAGACCGAUAGCGAACAAGUACCGUGAGGGAAAGAUGAAAAGCACUUUGGAAAGAGAGUUAACAGUACGUGAAAUUGUUGGAAGGGAAACGCUUGAAGUCAGACUUGCUUGCCGGAGCUUGCUUCGGUUUGCAGGCCAGCAUCAGUUUUCCGGGGUGGAUAAUGACGGUUUGAAGGUAGCAGUCUCGGCUGUGUUAUAGCUUUCCGUUGGAUACAUCCUGGGGGACUGAGGAACGCAGCGUGCUUUUUGCGAAAGACUCGUCUUUUUCACGCUUAGGAUGCUGGUGGAAUGGCUUUAAACGACCCGUCUUGAAACACGGACCAUUUAUUUUUUUUCCGGAAAUGCA